ACAUGAUCAAUUAAAAUGCUCUAGAACUUUGUUCUGGUGCAUUUUAAUUGAACUAAGUAUAGAAUUUUAGUUUAUUAACCUGGGUAAAUAAAUUUCAAAUUGAGAGAGUUGAGAGAGUUGGAGCAUUUUUAGAGAAAUAUCAAUGUUUCCCUAAUGUGCUAUUGAUUGUUGGCGACAUGGCACAUGUAUUAAAGUCUUCUGUUACAGUUGACUCAGCAAGAAUGAAGACAUUGAUACACUUUUGCAUUAAGGAAUACACAAGUUGGCAGUUCCUUGCCCACUGCCACCCAAAUACAGGUAGGUAUGCAUGCAUACACAACCCUCAAAAUUAGUAAAACUAAAAUGAGUUAUAAAUUGUCGACAUUUUAAGAUAUGAAAAAAUAUUAUUGUUAAAUUUUGAGUUUGUAAAAUUUAUUUUCAGAUUAUUUUAUGAAGUUUUUCAUUUUCUGACUUCGUGAUGGAACUUAUUGGAGUACACUUUUUUUGGACAUAGGAGGAGUAUUGCCGCUACAAGCAUGAACAAUAAUAAAACAUUCCAAAGAAUAAUUUGUUAUUUCAACGA